UGUGGCUGCCCCUGGAUCCCUGGAAGUGUCCAAGGCCAUGGUGGACAGGGCUUGGAGCACAAGGUGUCCCUGCCCAUGGCAGGGGGUAGAACAAGAUGGGCUUUAAGGCUCCUUCCAACCCAAAGCAUUCCAGGAUUCCUGUGAAAUUCUUUCUAAAUGGCUUUUUCUUGAGACUCUAGGAACAUUUUUGCAAAUGCCAGAAAGAAUCAUGUUCUAGUGAAGAAUACUUCAUUAAAGGCUCUUCAGAUACUAUGAAAGACCUGAAAAUUGGAUAAGUGCAAGUUACAGUAAGAAUUUUCUAAAAGGGGAAAGAACUUCUCUCUCAACUGGACCAGAGCCCAACAUCCUUCCCAGCAGUGUCUCAUAGGGAGGACAUCCCACUCACACUGGAAUGUUAUUUUUACUAAUGAAAGUUAAGCAGUGAAGUUGCUUAUUAUAAAAAAACAACAAUGCAACAAGUUGUGCCCUUCUAUGGGGAAAAAAAACCCCUCAUCUGUCACUUCUCAUGAUAAAAAAAUGUCAACAUUUGAAACUUAUCAUUUCAGAGUCAAUAUUCCUGCUCAUCUUUGGAGGAGAUGUGUAGGGGUGCAUUAGUUUUAAGUUGGUUUAUUCCUGUACCCCCCAUUCUGUUUAUGGUUCUGCCCGGGCUCUCUCUCUCUCUCUCCCUCUUCUUGAUUGUCCUGUCAGUUACACUUUUAUCUCUUCUAAGACCUCCCUGGCUGCCUGUCCGUUAUUCAGUGUCCAUUCCUUUCCAUCUAGAAUCUUCUGUCCAGGACACUGAGAGAUUGGCCCGAAGGUCGGGGCUCAACCCCCAGUUUAUUCCCACUGGAGAUCCGAGAUGUUUGUUAUGCGUUAUUCCCUCCUCUCAAAAUUUUAGAUUGGUUAAUGUAUCCUGUUUAUAAAGCUUUGCCGAGCAAGCAUUUUUGUCCGCGCCCGACGCUGCUUCAAUAAACAUCUCCCUUUUCCCUGUCCGCGCGGUCCUGUCUUUCUCCUGCGAGACGCAGACUGACUACACUGCAGACAGCUCCGGGAAUUCUCGCUCUCCUAAAGGCUUUUCGCCUUAAGCACUCUCCCCAGGAAAUCUUUCCGCGGGAGAGUGCCCUUCCCGCUUCGGUACUGCCGGCGGCACUGCCCACAGCAGCCGGGGACCCAGAGGCCAGUCGUAGCCGCUGCAGAUUGGCGCUCAGCCGUGGGGCUAUCCGACACCACCGCGGACCCUACGACAGAGAAAUCCCGGAGCCAGCGGGCUCGGCUCGUUGAAACACCGGAAAGUUUCUCAUGAGACGUUAACCUACCCCGUGGGAUAGCGGACCCAUUUUCAUGGGUAUCGCUCCACCGGGGACUGGGUCGGUAGCUCCGUGCACUCCGGAGUCGAUCCAUUCGCAGGAGCCGCCUUCCCUAGAACGCGGUACCUCGGCCAGUCCUAACAACCACUUCCAGGACGACCCCCUUUCGGUUGCAGUUGACGGAGCCGCUCCAUCUUAUUGACUCAAAUAUCCAACUCGUCUCCGUCAGUCCGGAGUGCCCAGAAAGCCCGAGAAUGUCCAUCCCCAUAACCCACAUCGAGCUGAUCAUUUUCUGGAACUUUUUUGCCAUCGCGAGCUCAUGGAUUGUCCCUCAACCCAAGCAAAACAUUUGGAAGAUGCUCGCUGGCGCCCUCGGCAGAGAUCAUUUGUGUCUCUCCGCCACCUCGGCAGCAGACCCCUUGUCGACCUGCCUUGUGGGGAUCCCGCUUCCUCCAAAAGAGUUUCCCGAGCCCCUUUACUCCUUCCUUGAACCCCUUUCCCAAAAUAAAGUUUUCAGUCCCUCUAGUCCCAAUCCCAAUCCAAUCUGGAGGAGGCUAAUGUCCAAAUUGAAUAUAUCUAAAUCUGACCCCACCGAAUUUAAAUUGCUCGGCUCCGCGUCAGCAAAUUUGUGUGUUCAACUUUUCCCUUCCCGCGACCGCUACGAAAAAUCUUUUACACCAAUUAUAGAACAGAAUCAAAACUACGCGGCAGGGAAUUGGUGUUCUGUCACCUCUCAUAUUACCACCCCCAUCUCAUUUGACGAUAAACCCAGAUCCCUCCCCAACGGCGUAUUUUUCAUUUGCGGAAACCGAGCAUGGGCAGGUAUCCCCCCUCGCCUUCUAGGAGGCCCGUGUACAUUUGGACGGCUGACGCUGUUUGCUCCCAACAAUUCCCAAAUUAAAGAUUGGAAGGAGAAAAUUGUCGCACACAAUUCGGUCCGCGUAGCAAGAGACCUUAAAGAUUUAGAUGAACAGUGCGACUCCAAAAUUGUUCAUUGGUCAAAGCCAGAAGGUGUCGCAUGGACAGUGUUUCUCCCAUGGGUGUCUAUUGCAAAGUCUCUAGGUGAAUUAGCUCACCUGGAGUGUUGGGUAGCCAGACAGGCCAAUUUUACCUCAGCCGCUCUAAGCAACCUCCUAGCAGACGAGGAAAUAACAAGGCAGGCGACUCUCCAAAACCGGGCAGCAAUAGACUUCCUAUUGCUGCUUCAGGAUCACCGGUGUGAGGAGUUCGAAGGGCUCUGCUGCCUCAAUUUAUCAUCCAAAGCCGGGGACGCCAGAAGAUCUAUUGACCAAAUGAAGGGAAUGAUCAGCGACAUUAAGGAGAAAACAUCAGACUGGUUGGGAGACAUCUUUACGGGAUGGGGUCUCUCGGGCUGGGUAGUCUCUAUUUUGAAAACUGUUGUUUUAGUCCUUUUCAUUUUGCUGGUC